CCUCAAAUCAGGUAGGACUACCCGCUGAACUUAAGCAUAUCAAUAAGCGGAGGAAAAGAAACUAACAAGGAUUCCCCUAGUAACUGCGAGUGAAGCGGGAAAAGCUCAAAUUUAAAAUCUGGUGGUCUUUGGCCAUCCGAGUUGUAAUCUAGAGAAGUGUUACCCGCGUCGGACCGUGUACAAGUCUCCUGGAAUGGAGCGUCAUAGAGGGUGAGAAUCCCGUCUUUGACACGGACUACCGAGGCUUUGUGGUGCGCUCUCAAAGAGUCGAGUUGUUUGGGAAUGCAGCUCAAAAUGGGUGGUAAAUUCCAUCUAAAGCUAAAUAUUGGCGAGAGACCGAUAGCGAACAAGUACCGUGAGGGAAAGAUGAAAAGAACUUUGGAAAGAGAGUUAAACAGUACGUGAAAUUGCUGAAAGGGAAACACUUGAAGUCAGUCGCGUUGGCCGGAAAUCAGCCUUGCUUUAGUGAGGUGUACUUUCUGGUUGACGGGCCAGCAUCAGUUUUGACCGGUGGAAAAAGUCGAGAGGAAGGUGGCAUCUUCGGGUGUGUUAUAGCCUCUUGUCGUAUACAUCGGUUGGGACUGAGGAAAACAGUACUUGUAGUUUGGAU
rnacentral:rRNA from 1 species